UGCAAGUCGAGCGGUAACAGGGAGUAGCUUGCUACUCUGCUGACGAGCGGCGGACGGGUGAGUAAUGUCUGGGGAUCUGCCUGAUGGAGGGGGAUAACUACUGGAAACGGUAGCUAAUACCGCAUAACGUCGCAAGACCAAAGAGGGGGACCUUCGGGCCUCUUGCCAUCGGAUGAACCCAGAUGGGAUUAGCUAGUAGGUGGGGUAAUGGCUCACCUAGGCGACGAUCCCUAGCUGGUCUGAGAGGAUGACCAGCCACACUGGAACUGAGACACGGUCCAGACUCCUACGGGAGGCAGCAGUGGGGAAUAUUGCACAAUGGGCGCAAGCCUGAUGCAGCCAUGCCGCGUGUAUGAAGAAGGCCUUCGGGUUGUAAAGUACUUUCAGCGAGGAGGAAGGCGUUAAGGUUAAUAACCUUAGCGAUUGACGUUACUCGCAGAAGAAGCACCGGCUAACUCCGUGCCAGCAGCCGCGGUAAUACGGAGGGUGCAAGCGUUAAUCGGAAUUACUGGGCGUAAAGCGCACGCAGGCGGUUUGUUAAGUCGGAUGUGAAAUCCCCGGGCUCAACCUGGGAACUGCAUUCGAAACUGGCAAGCUUGAGUCUUGUAGAGGGGGGUAGAAUUCCAGGUGUAGCGGUGAAAUGCGUAGAGAUCUGGAGGAAUACCGGUGGCGAAGGCGGCCCCCUGGACAAAGACUGACGCUCAGGUGCGAAAGCGUGGGGAGCAAACAGGAUUAGAUACCCUGGUAGUCCACGCCGUAAACGAAGUCGACUUUGGGAGGUUGUGCCCUUGAGGCGUGGCUUCCGGAGGCUAACGCGUUAAGUCGACCGCCUGGGGAGUACGGCCGCAAGGUUAAAAUUCAAAUGAAUUGACGGGGGCCCGCACAAGCGGUGAGCAUGUGGUUUAAUUCGAUGCAACGCGAAGAACCUUACCUACUCUUGACAUCCAGAGAACUUAGCAGAGAUGCUUUGGUGCCUUCGGGAACUCUGAGACAGGUGCUGCAUGGCUGUCGUCAGCUCGUGUUGUGAAAUGUUGGGUUAAGUCCCGCAACGAGCGCAACCCUUAUCCUUUGUUGCCAGCGGUUCGGCCGGGAACUCAAAGGAGACUGCCAGUGAUAAACUGGAGGAAGGUGGGGAUGACGUCAAGUCAUCAUGGCCCUUACGAGUAGGGCUACACACGUGCUACAAUGGCGCAUACAAAGAGAAGCGACCUCGCGAGAGCAAGCGGACCUCAUAAAGUGCGUCGUAGUCCGGAUUGGAGUCUGCAACUCGACUCCAUGAAGUCGGAAUCGCUAGUAAUCGUAGAUCAGAAUGCUACGGUGAAUACGUUCCCGGGCCUUGUACACACCGCCCGUCACACCAUGGGAGUGGGUUGCAAAAGAAGUAGGUAGCUUAACCUUCGGGAGGGCGCUACCAC
rnacentral:rRNA from 1 species